AUGGAUAAUAUUAGCAACAUCUUCCACAAUGACCUACUCCCAUCUCUAGGAGCAAGAGCAAACCAAUCUAUCAAGUUGAGAAAAUUCAUCAUUUCUCCCUAUGAUUCCCGUUACAGGAUCUGGGAAACGUUCUUGCUUGUGCUCGUUGUUUAUUCAGCAUGGAUCUACCCGUUUGAGCUAGCAUUUCUGAGACAUCUCUCAUGGAAGCUUUUCCUAGUUGAGAACAUUGUCAACAGCUUCUUCGCAAUUGAUAUUGUUCUCACCUUUUUUCUAGCGUAUCUUGAUCACAAGUCUUAUCUUCUAGUGGAUAAUCCAAAAAGGAUUGCAGCUAGAUAUCUCUCUUCCUGGUUCAUUCUUGACGUCUGUUCCACGAUUCCAUAUCAACCGUUUGGGCUACUCUUUAACAAGCAUGGAAAUGGCCUUGCCUAUAGGACACUUAACAUGCUUCGAUUAUGGCGUCUCCGACGCCUCAGUGCUUUAUUUGCCAGGCUUGAAAAGGAUAUCCGAUUGAACUACUACUGGAUAAGGUGCACCAAACUAAUUUCUGUUACUCUUUUUGCAAUACAUUGUUCAGGAUGUUUCAUUUACUUAAUAGCUGAUACAUAUCCCGAUCCAUCAAGAACCUGGAUAGGAGCAGCAAUACCAAACUACAGAUCAGAGAGUCUAUGGAUUCGAUAUGUGACAGCAAUUUAUUGGUCCAUUACAACACUCACAACAACUGGUUAUGGCGAUUUACAUGCGGAGAAUCCAAGAGAAAUGUCAUUUUGCAUAUGUUUCAUGCUAUUUAACCUGGGAUUGACAGCAUACCUCAUUGGUAACAUGACAAACCUAGUUGUCCAGGGAAGUUGCCGUACCAGGAACUUUAGAGAUACCAUCCAUGCUGCCUCUCGGUUUGCUGCAAGGAAUCAGUUACCUGAACAAAUUAGGGAUGAAAUGCUAGCUCAUAUCUGCCUGAGGUAUAAGACAGAAGGGCUGAAACAGAAGGAAACAUUGGAUAGUCUCCCCAAGGCAAUUCGUUCAAGCAUAGCGUGCCAUUUAUACCUCCCUGUCCUAGAAAAAAUAUAUCUUUUUCAUGGUGUUUCUUUUACUUGCAGGCUCCAAUUGGUUACCACAAUGGAAGCAGAGUACUACCCACCAAGAGAAACUGUCAUACUCCAGAAUGAAACGCCUACAGAUGUUUACAUAUUAGUUUCAGGAGCAGUGGAAGAACGGAUAAUGAUUGAUGGGCGAGAAAAGGUUGAGAAACUACUAUCAGGUGGUGACAUAUUUGGUGAAAUAGGAGUUCUCUGCAACAUUCCCCAGCCAUUUACAUUCCGCACGUCCAGAAUUUCACAACUAUUAAGGCUUAACACAACAGUGCUAAAAAACAUUAUUCAGGAAAACAAACACGACAAGGAAAUUAUAAUGAACAAUCUUUACCAGAAAAUGAACUCGGAUCAAAGGUUCUCUACUGACACGAUGGAAGUAUGCGAAGAGACGCUCGAUCAACACUUUGGAGAGUACAACGGAUGUUUUGCAUCCAAUCAGGUCAACAUAAACAAUGAAUCAAAAGCAGGAGAAACAAUAAGACUGGCUUGCAGUGAAGAACGUUGUAAAGAACUCAAUGAAUCAGACAGACAUGGAGCAAUUCACAGUACUACGGAACAGGGUUCCUUUAAUACAAACAUUGAUUUUCCUGAUAAAGGUGAAAGUAUGGAAAAUCAUGUUGCUACAAGUCAGCUUACGGACAAAUGGAAGGCAGAUGAGCAUGAACAUACAUCGACCGACAACUGCAUGACAGGAUAUGGAGGGGCUCGAGAGAGGUUCAAAAACAUACGGCAAGACACAAUAUUAGGGCAGCCAAAAAUCACAGAUAAAAUGCUUACAUGCUUAGUUGCUGGAGAACUCCAGGAGAUCACUGAUACACGCACAGAAGCUGGUUCUGUGGUUUCAGAAAGAAAAAGAGUGACAAUUCAUAUGCAUCCACAACAGAACAAAAGCUUAGCAGUACCAUAUGCAGAAGUCAUAAAUCUACCAGAAUCUCUGGAUCAACUUUUCGGCAUAGCUCGUGAGAAGUUUCCGGGUUAUUGUCCUGUGAAGCUGUUCAAUCAAGAUUUUGCUGAAAUUGACGAUAUAACAGUAAUUCGAGAUGGUGACCAGUUGUUUCUUAUGGAAGUUUGA
rnacentral:rRNA from 1 species